UGAACGCUGGCGGCGUGCCUAACACAUGCAAGUCGAACGGAGAAUACAUUUUGAAGCAAUUAGCUUGCUAAGAGUGGAAAUGUUGUAUUCUUAGUGGCGGACGGGUGAGUAACGCGUGGAUAACCUGCCUCACACUGGGGGAUAACAGCGAGAAAUUGCUGCUAAUACCGCAUAAGCGCACAGCAUUGCAUGAUGCAGUGUGAAAAAACUAAGGUGAUGUGAGAUGGAUCCGCGUCUGAUUAGCUAGUUGGUAGGGUAAGAGCCUACCAAGGCGACGAUCAGUAGCCGGCCUGAGAGGGUGAACGGCCACAUUGGGACUGAGACACGGCCCAAACUCCUACGGGAGGCAGCAGUGGGGGAUAUUGCACAAUGGGGGAAACCCUGAUUGCAGCGACGCCGCGUGAGUGAAGAAGUAUUUCGGUAUGUAAAGCUCUAUCAGCAGGGAAGAAAAUGACGGUACCUGACUAAGAAGCCCCGGCUAACUACGUGCCAGCCGCAGC
rnacentral:rRNA from 1 species